rnacentral:rRNA from 1 species
UACGUAGGUGGCAAGCGUUAUCCGGAUUUAUUGGGCGUAAGGGGAACGCAGGCGGUCCUUUAAGUCUGAUGUGAAAGCCUUCGGCUUAACCGGAGUAGUGCAUUGGAAACUGGGAGACUUGAGUGCAGAAGAGGAGAGUGGAACUCCAUGUGUAGCGGUGAAAUGCGUAGAUAUAUGGAAGAACACCAGUGGCGAAAGCGGCUCUCUGGUCUGUAACUGACGCUGAGGUUCGAAAGCGUGGGUAGCAAACAGG